rnacentral:lncRNA from 1 species
CCUUUCUUUAUUAUUUUAAUUCAAGUAUUAUUUUAAUUUUGAAAAAUACCAAAAAUAUUUUAUUUGUUUCUUGACUUCUAAUCUUCAUUUUGCUUCUGUUUACUAUUGUUUGACCUUGAUAUCCUCUAUCUUUGGUCAAUGCUUGUUGAUUACUUCAUUCCAUUUCCAUUAAUGCACUUUAUUAUUCAUCUUCUUCUUCUUCUUCUUCUUCUUCUUUUUCUU